GGGCCGUAACUACCUAUGAGGCAGGGGAGGCAACUGCCUCCCCUGAAAUUUCUACACCAAUUUUUUUUUUUGAAGUAAUAAAAUGAAAUAUGUACACGAAGAACUUGAAAUUAUAUUAUAAACAACACAAGUUUACAGUUUUAACAGUGUUAUCAUGAUACGUGAUAUAUCUGUCAUUUUCCGGAUUUUUGAUCGAAAGUUAACCGUUUCAAUAUAGUUUUAUUUAUUUUUUCGUGUGGCCGUCUGUCUGUUAUUCAGUAUAUAUUCGUACGAGACCACAUAUGAAACUUUGCUUUCGACAAUUUUGAAUAAAACUAUUCACAUUCAUUUAGGGGCUCAAUUAAGCAGAGGAUGUUCCCUUCG
rnacentral:lncRNA from 1 species